rnacentral:rRNA from 1 species
AGCGGCCGAAGCGCGGGGGUCCCACCUGACCCCAUGCCGAACUCAGAAGUGAAACGCCGUAGCGCCGAUGGUAGUGUGGGGUCUCCCCAUGCGAGAGUAGGGAACUGCCAGGC